UACGAAGGGGGCUAGCGUUGCUCGGAAUCACUGGGCGUAAAGCGCACGUAGGCGGAUUGCUAAGUCAGGGGGUGAAAUCCUGGAGCUCAACUCCAGAACUGCCUUUGAUACUGGCGACCUUGAGUCCGGGAGAGGUGAGUGGAACUGCGAGUGUAGAGGUGAAAUUCGUAGAUAUUCGCAAGAACACCAGUGGCGAAGGCGGCUUACUGGUCCGGUUCUGACGCUGAGGCGCGAAAGCGUGGGGAGCAAACAGG
rnacentral:rRNA from 1 species